UACGUAGGGGGCAAGCGUUAUCCGGAAUUACUGGGUGUAAAGGGAGCGUAGGCGGCAUGGUAAGUUAGAUGUGAAAGCCCGGGGCUUAACCCCGCGGAUUGCAUUUAAAACUAUCAAGCUAGAGUACAGGAGAGGAAAGCGGAAUUCCUAGUGUAGCGGUGAAAUGCGUAGAUAUUAGGAAGAACACCAGUGGCGAAGGCGGCUUUCUGGACUGAAACUGACGCUGAUGCUCGAAAGCGUGGGGAGCGAACAGG
rnacentral:rRNA from 1 species